UACGUAGGGGGCAAGCGUUGUCCGGAAUCAUUGGGCGUAAAGAGCGUGUAGGCGGCCUGGUAAGUCCGCUGUGAAAGUCCAGGGCUCAACCCUGGAAUGCCGGUGGAAACUGUCAGGCUCGAGUCCGGAAGAGGCGAGUGGAAUUCCUGGUGUAGCGGUGAAAUGCGCAGAUAUCAGGAGGAACACCAAUGGCGAAGCAGCUCGCUGGGACGGUACUGACGCUGAGACGCGAAAGCGUGGGGAGCAAACAGG
rnacentral:rRNA from 1 species